ACCUGCCUCCAACCCUAAGAACAAACCUUAUCAAAGCAAAACCCUCCACUGCACACACUUAUUCUCCAAGGGAGAGGGUGAGAGAACAAACCACACGUGCCAGAUGCCAGGCAAUUGCUUAAGGCAUGACCGGAAGGCGCGCCUACGCCGGCGACGAGCACGACGGCAUAAGAAUCUACGGAGAACAGAAAGCGCGAACAACUUAAUCGAAGAGCAGGGGUGUGGUAUGGUUAAUAAAGGCUUCCAUCAGCCAAGAUGGGCAUUUGCUGUUGAAGUCAAAACAGCGUCGACACAAAUCUGAGCUUUGAACCGUUUGACCCCAAGUCCCUUCCCCUUUCAGCUCUGGCUCGUGGGGCUCUGGGGGGGGACACGAGCGCUGCAGAGAGCCCAGGGGCUGCCGGCCUCCACACGGGCGGAGUUUUUAAGGGACAAACCCAGGCCCAGGACCUUUGUU